rnacentral:lncRNA from 1 species
CUAUAUCAUACGUAAACUUAAAACCAUGCAAUCAAAUUUCCAUUAAAACAUAAAUUGGAAAAAAUUAUGAAAAUGGAUGUCGUAAAGUCAAACCUGAGAGGACAGGUUGAACAUUGUUGAUGGUAAUGCAAAGGGCCAAGAGUGGCGUGAGGUCUAUAACCAUCUCUUGAACUUGUGAAUCGUUUGAAAACAAGUAGGGAUAAUGGUUUCUGAAGAUGAUAAGAAUAAGGGCUAUCGUAACACCAAUCAUAAAUGAAUACGACACUGCCACCAACAAUGAAAAUUUCGCUGUUCUAGGAUGCCCUGAUCCCAAUUCAUUUGAAACCCUCACGCUGCACUUUCAUUCAUUUUUAAUAAUAAUAAAAAAGAGUUAAUGUCUGCCAUUAUUAAUAAUUAUUUUUUGCAUUUAAUUUGUAAAUAAUUAAGAUACUAUAUACUUUAUAGUUUCAGUAUCACCUUAUAGCUGCAUUCAUUCCCAUAGCCACCAUGAUUGUCCAUCCCAAUAUGUUCAUACUGCACAAUUCAGCAUUCCAGAUCAGUUCUUAAUUCUACUCAUAUACUGGGAUGUCAACAAAAAGAAAUUAAUUUAAACAAGAAUAAUAAAACUACAGCUAAACAUAAAAUUAAUUUGCUUUUAUACCAACUAUAUAUUUACCGGGAAUUUUCUUAUUCAUAUGUUGGAAAGUUAUAAGAUUAGAAAAAUAUCAUGAGGUAUGCAUGUGUGUCACUGUUAUUGUCUGUUUGUUGACAAAACUGCGUGCGUCAGAUGUGGUUGAAACUUUUAUUUGUUGAAUGAAUGCAAGAUUUUAGAUGAAAUCAGCAGAUCCUCCAGUAGGCGACCUUCACAUUAAAUAGAAACAAACAGUGCCCCACAAUCAACAAGUAGUGGUUAAAAUGAUUACUUAAAAUAAAUGCACUCACCAGAUAGACAACGCAUCCACUGAUACUUCGGCGUUCGUUAGGUAUCCAGCGAAAAGUAUCAAUGCCAUGAAAUACCAUACCUCUAAACUGCAAAUCAUUUUAUACAUUUAUUAACCAUUUCUCUCUUCUUUUCCUGGAAUCUUAAGUAUCUAUUUUUUAAAUUUAGAAUUUAAAUUCAAUUAUUAAUACUGUUAUAUUUACUUUUGUAAAAUUUAUUGGUGUGAUAUUUUAAAAUAACAAAAUAAUACUCACUUCAUAUUAAUGUAAUUAAAAAAUAGCUCGUAAUGAAUUUAAAUUUAACAAAAUAAUUUCAAUAGUGUUAAUAAUUGUAUUUAAAUUUUAAAAUCUUAAAAAAAUUUAAAAUAAAAGUAUAUGAACAAAAUUUUAAUUUUACAAGAGUACAUUAUUUUUUUACCUAAAUAAUACAAAAAAAUAUAAUUACAAAAAUGAAACAUGUUAUAAAUUACUUACUAGAAUAAUAUAUUUUCUACAAUAAAAUUAAAUACCACCAAUAUGUGUCAGAUGUGGACCAUCUAUAAAAAACAAUAUGUUAAUAAAAAUAAAUAAAUCCAAAAAUAGAUGUAUAAAAUUCAAAAUUAUACCAUAAUCACUCCAAAUUAAAGAAAAAGUAAUUAAAAGUAAGAGAAUUUUUUAAUUUAUUUUUAUUAAAAUAUUAUUUUUAUAACUGCGGCCGUCACAUUGACUACAUCCAAUUUCACUGUAAAAAACAUAUAAUACUCCUAAAUAAUCUAAAAUAUGUCCAUUUUCUUAAUUAAUACUUUUUAUUAUUUAAAUAAAAACCCAAGAGUACACUCAUAUUUUAAAUCUAAAAGAAAAUAAUUGGAUAUAGAAAUUUAAGGAAACUUGUUUUUUUAGGUCAUAAAGGUGAUGGAAACGUAGAAAAGAUGUCCAAUAAGGAUUUUUUUACCCCAUUAGUUUAAAAUAAAUAAUUAAAUAUUAAAAUAAUUACCCUACAAAUUAAUUAUCAAAAUGGAUUAUUUAUUACAAUAUUUUCUAAUAUCCCCUGACUCAGUUCAAUUCCCACAAAUAAUAUUAUUUUAUCAAAAAUUAAUAAAAUAUUAUAUGUAAGAAUUAAACUUACAACUAUCAAAUUAAACAUCACACACUCUACCACCUAAGCUAAAACAACUAUUCUUUUAUAUAAUAAUUAUAAUCACUAAUUAUAUUAUAAUUUGAUAUAAUUAAUAUGUCAAGCGACAUUAAAAAAUACUGUAACAAAUGAUUUAUUUUUAAAGGCUGUUGAGGUAAAAAAAGGGUCAAAUGAGAAAUGAUAUUGUUUCUAUCUUGUCAUGCCUUGUAUUGGACCUUCAUAAAAUAUUUUAAAGAAAAUGAUUGAAUGGUAGGUGUUCAACUGACAAGUAGGCUGACCCUUUGCCUCACUCUUUAAAAAAUAAUUCUAAAAAUCCCAAAAUUUAAAAUUAAUUUUUUUCAAUGUAUUUGUUUCAAAGUAUAUUUUAAAAAACUUAUAUCAAUUUUGAAACGUUAACUUUCGGUAUAAAUAUAAAAUAAAUAAAUGUAAACAGAUGUGAAAUAAAUAAAAAUAUUAAUAAUUUAUGAAAAUUAGAUAAAAAGUUAAAGUUUAUAUAAAUAAUUACGUGAAAUUAAAAUUAAGCAUUUAAAAAUAGUUUUAGGUAAAGGGUUUAAACUCGUUCUUAAAAAUGUUAUAAAACAUGUCUCAAAAAUAGAAUCGGAUUGAAAUUGGAAGAAUAAAAAGACCUAAUUCAUUUUUUAAAGUGAUUUUAAGUUUUUCUGCCUAGGUGACUUACCAGAGCAUUACUGCUGAAGCUAAAGACAAUCUAACAAAACCCCACAGAUGUUGAAAUGCCUUCCCAGAGAAGCCGGUCCAAGUCCGAUCACAUGCACCGCUAAUUAUGUACAAAAACUGAGCCACAACAAUGAAAAUCCACGACAUAUUUAAAACAACGGCUGCACCUACUAGGCCCCAUCCCAGCUUUAGCAUCAAGAGCCAGCUUAAUACAGUGUGCAGAACCAACGCCACUCCUGCUAUCACCGCCAUCACCAUGAUCUUGCUCUGCGCCUGUAAGAACUUCGCCAUCGGAAAGUUGAACGCGUAAGCAAACAGUUGAGGCAACAUCCAUAUUGCGAACAUUCCGGCCGCCUUCGAUAUGCUUUCUGUUUGGCCUAUUACCCUCAAAAAUUUUGCCGCAAAUAUGUAUAACAAGCUUAACAUCAAAGCCGUUGAGUUGAGGAUGACCCAUGAUCUUUGCAUGUACACCCCUAACAUAUCAACCUGCCCUGCUCCAAAUGCUUGGCCGCAUAAAGUUUCGAGUGCACUUCCCAUCCCAAGCUAUUCAAGUUUUAAUCAAGUAUUGUGUGAUUACUGUUAUUUGUAACUAAGCGAACAAAACUAAAACUAUUAACAAAGGAAAUUUAUUUUACAGAUUUACCAUGAUGCCAAAGGAGAAACCGGCGAUGACUGAAUUCUCCACGGAGACGGCGGCAAGAGCUAGAGUGCCAACUUGGCCGGAAAAGACUUGAGUGAUAGCGCCGAGGGAGUAUCGGCAGAGAGAUGUGAAGAUGGCGGGGCCAGCAAGGAACCAGAGCUUCUUGGACUCUAUCAGGUAUUCUCUGAAGAAGUCACGGACGCCGUUGAUCGGUGGGAUGUCAUCGAUGCCGGGCGUGAAGGUGGUGUUUGAUGGUCUAGAAAGUAACUGCUCCUGGUGGUGGCUGUCCUCGCCAACUAGCCGAGGGGAAAGAAGCGGUUGCUCAGCGUCCUCCAUAGCCAUAGGAGAGCACAAAGAGCAAUCGGCCAAGAUAUAUAUAGAUUAUAUGUUUAGGAUAUAUUAGAAUUAGAAUAAAGGGGUUUUUUUUUUACUUAGAUAAUAUAAAAAAUAAUAUUUAAAUACCAAAAUGGUAUUCCAUCUCUAUUAUUUACCAAAAUGAUAUGGAUUGAAUACUAUUUAGUGGCACUUUUAGCGGCGUUUGAAUAAAAAACGCCGGUAAAAAUCGAGCAUUAGCGGCGCUUUAUGGAAAUCGCCACUAAAGAUCGAGCAUUAGCGGCCGCUAAAAAUGAGCAUUCGCGACGUUUUUCAGAAAAACGUCGCAAAAAACCAAAGCCCAUCGGCGUCGUUUUCUUACCUUUCAGGGCUUUUGCAGUGUUUUCAAAAAAGCGCCACUAAUGCUCGGGGUUUUAGCGGCGUUUUUCAAAAAGCGCCGCUAAUACUCAGGGUUUUAGCGGCGUUUUUGAAAAAGCGCCGCUAAAAACAUUUUAUCUUAAUUGGUUUAUUUAUAUUAAUUAAAUAAAAUUCAAUUUAUUUCUAAUUGAAUAUUUAAAAUCUUCAGAAAAGAAUAAUAACACGUAGAAAUAAUUUGAAAUAAAACACAUGGAAAAAUUAAAAUACUAUUAUUUAAAAUAAUUUUAAAGUUUUUUGGGUACAUGAUUACUGAUUAUUUUUUAAUUUAUAUAUUAAAUUUUUUUUAUAUAAUCAUAAAAGAGUUAGUAAUAAUUUUAAAAUAUUGAAUUAAUUAUCACUAUAGUUUAGGAUUUUUGGUUUAAGGUAUAUGAUUUAUUUAAGAUUUAAGGCUGGUUUAGGAGUUACUAUUUUAAGGUUUAAGGAGUAUUGAUUAAGGAUUAUGGUUUAAGGGUUGAGAUUUAAGGUUUAAGGGUUAGGGGUUAGGGGUUAGGGGUUUAGGGAUUUAGAGUUUAGGGAUUCAUGGGUCGAGUUAGGGUUUUGGGUUUAGAUUAAUUAUUUUUUAAUUUAUAUUUUAAAUAUGUUUUUUAAUUUAUAUAUUAAAUAAUUUCAUAUAUAAUUGAAAAAGAUAAGAUAGUAUCAAUUUUAAAAUAUUUAAUUAAUUAUCAUUAUAGUUUAGGGUUUAUAUGGUUUACGGUAUAUGGUUAAUUUAAGAUUUAAGGCCAGUUUGGGAGUUACUAUUUUAAGGUUUGAGGAUUAUAUAUGGAUUUAGGAAUUACGGAUUAGGGAUUAUGGUUUAAGGGUUGGGAUUUAAGAUUUAGGGGUUAGGAGUUAGGAGUUAGGAGUUAGGAGUUAGGGGUCAGGGGUUAAGAGAUAGAGAUUUAGGGUUUUAAGGGCCGAGUUAAGGUUUAAGGUUUAGAUUAAUUAGUUUUUUAAUUUAUAUAUUAAAUAUGUUCUUAUAUAAUUGUAAAAGAUAUAAUAAUAAAUUUAAUAUAUUGAAAUUAUGAGUAUAGUUUAUAUUAUUUAAGAGAUACAUAAUAGAUAGACUUUAUGUAUAUUGAAUGGUUAAUUUAGGGUUUAAGGUUUUCUUGAGAUUUGUUAAAUAAUACAAUUUUAUACAAUUAAUUAAUGCUUUUAUAUUUAAAAAUAUUUAAUAAUUCUUUAUGUAAUUCUUUAUGUAAAAUUUUAAUAAUUCUUUAUGUAAAAUUUAUAAGAAAUAUACAAUAAUUGAAUAUAAAAAAAUAUGCGAGCUUUAGCGGCGUUUUCAGCAAAAAACGCCAUUACUAUGUACUAAAAUUUCCCAAAACGGCGCCGUUUCAAUAGAAGAAUUUAAAUUUCUUAGUGGCGUUUUCAGAAAAAAUACCGCAAAAGAUACACAUUACCGGCAUUUUGAUAAAAAACACCGCAAAUUUGUAUUACAAUUUUUCAAUACGGUGUCAUUUCAGUUUAAGUAGUGGCAUUUUUUCUUUAAAACGUCACAAAUGUGAAAGCAAAUAAAAGAUAAUCAAAAUCCCGCUCACUUCCAAAAAAAAAUUUUUGGUUACCCGCUCAUUACUCCCUCUUCUUCUCAUCUCUGUCGUGCGCCCUAAAUCCCCCAAAUAAAAGUUUGUUUUUCUUUAGCUGAAAUCCCCCAAAUUUCCCAUUUCCAACAACAGACUUCAAGGAAGAAAACCAAAAGAUGGGAUGGGAUCACCCAGACAUAUCGCUGGAAGAAAUGAUGAAACUGAUAGAAGGGUUUGUUGAUAUCCUGGUUUUUUUGUUUUGUUUUAUUUUUUUUAAUUUUAUUUACUUUUAGGACUUUUUAAGGAAUGACAAGAAAGAAGAAUCUGGCAAUGACAAGUUCGACAAACCCAUAUCAGAGACUAGGGUUUCAAGGGAAGAAUGUGGUUCAAAUGGGAGAAAUCUAAAUAAGAAGAGAAGUUAUGCACAGUUUCAUUUAGAGUUAGGUCAAUCUGAUUUUCUUUUCCAUGCCUGUUCAAUUUGUGGGGUCAAGUGUUCUCCCGGGGAUGAAGCUGAUGAAAGGAACCAUUCCAUUUUUCACAAGAAUUUCAGUCUUGGGGUUCAAUUCAAGGUACAUCUCUAAUUUGCUUAAUACUAUAUAUAUACACAUGAAGAAGCUUCUCUAAGUUUUCGCUUUGUGCUUUUUAACAUGCCUUCUGCAGUUCAGGAUUGUUCUGCUGCUAUUUACAUAAAUACAAUAGUAGCAAAAAAAGUAGUGAAUGAAGAAAAUAGAGUAUUUGAAGAAUUUGAAAAGUAGUGAAUGAAUGGUAAUUUUCACAGAAUCUUUUGACUUCUAGCUUCAUUUUACAAGUAUGGUGAAAUGAGAGGGUUGUUCAUGCAUACCUUAAACAGAACCAAGGACCAUUUUUCGCAACAAAAGUAUUAAGUACUGGCUGAGCUAAGUUUGUAAUUUACUGUUAAGAAAAAUGGAUUUUGCUAUGAUUAAAAAUUUAACAUGGGCUAUGUUGUUAAUCACUGUUCUCUCUUUUUUCCUUUUUUUUUUUUUUUUGUUAUUACUUGUCUACUUCAGUUUAAAGUGAGAAAAGGGUUUAUUUAGUGUCCUUUAAUCAUCAUUUUGGUGGCCAUUAAUGAGUAAAAGGGAGCGUGUAGGGCAUCAAUGACAUAACUUUAUCAUAUAUAUGCUACAUAACAUAAUGUGUCGGAUUUAUAUUCAUAUCUGAUACUUGUUUUGUGCUUGGUGCUAGAUAUUUCUUUGUAUUGUUCAUGAUUUAUCUUUUUAAAUAACAAUAUUAUUAGAAUAACUCCAUGAAAGGGGUUGAGAAGCAUAUAAUAAUUACAUGGCUAAAGUGAUGCCUUUUAUUCACAUGAAUCAAUGAUACAAAGCUAAAAGAUACUUAUUCAUGACUUAAAUUUUAUUAAUUUUUGGGUAAGCUACAAUUAUGCUUUAAGUUUUAUUUUUGGUCAUCUAAUUAAAAAAAUUACAAAAUAGUUAUCCAAAUUGUAUUUGUUUUUUUGUUUUUUUGUUUUUUUUUUGUCUAAUUUUGUUAAUUAUCAUUGACUUUGUGAUGAAAUGGCAGUUCUAAAAUCUUCUAUUUUCCUUUUUGUUCUAAACUCCUUCCCCAUAGAGGAUGGAUUUGGGAAAGUAAUGGAGGAUAAGAAAGGAGAAUACAAGAGAAAAAAGAAAAAAAGUUAGGGAAAGAAAGAUGAAAAAAGGUUAUAAUUAGUUUGUUUUUAAAUUACUUUUUAAGGCAUGCACUUUUUAAGGCAUGCACUUUAUACAAAAAAUAUGUUCGCUGCAUGAAAUUAACGUGUUAUUUACUUUUGUUCUGUUUCCUUUUACUUUCUCGAUUAGUCAUGGGGAGAAGUUGCUAGAUGUAUGUAGAAUUGCUUCUGUGUUGUAUGAAGUACUAAAGACAGUUAUAGCUGGUCCUCAGGUUCUAUUUCCCCUUAUGAUUUAGCCUUCUUACCAUAGUAUUUUGUAAUAUCUGGAUUUUGUUACUAUGCUUGUCAUCUUAUGUUAUAUCUCUUUUUUCCUUUGAAGGCCCUUGCUGACAGAGAGAGCAUUCAAGCUAGAUCUGAGUUGUUUGCCUACAAUAUUCUGCCACUUGAUCAUGGAGGUAUUCAGCAAGCAAUUAUGAAAUUUCCUGAGGUCUGACACUACACGAAUAUACUCUGGUUUUCUUUUUUCAGUCCACUUUUGUCUCUAAGAGGUAGUUGUCACAAUAUUCCCCAUGGGGACAUAUUCCAUGCUAGCCCAUCCCUUAGUGAAGCUCAGUUCCUUUGUUUGAAUUCUUAUGCUUUAAGUAGAUAAGGGUUUCUAUGUACUGCCUGAAAACAUUUUGUACUUCAAAUAAUAAUAUGCCAUAUGAAAAUAAAAUAUUUUACCAAUAAAAUAAAAUAAAAAACAAGAAUCGAAUAUCAAAAAAUUUGAACAUAGAAGAAGUUUAAUCAAUUUGCUUGCAAAAACUCUUCAAGGUCUAUCUCUUUUCAUCUUCUUAAUUAAUUGUUACUCUUCCCAAUGGUCGCCUACCAAAGAAAACGACAUUUUGCCAAUCAAACUAGGUAUGUGUUUUCUUGGUUUUUUAUAUAUAUUCUUUUCUUUUGACAAAGAACUUGAGGUUGAACUGAUUUGACUAAGGACUUGGAGUUGAACUAAUUUGAUUCUUGUUUUUUAUUUUAUUUUAUUUUAUUUUAUUGGCAAGAAAGAUAAAAUAUUUUAUUUAUCAAAUAAUCUAAAAGAUUUUGAAUUCUUAUGCUUGUUGAUAAAGUUGGCGAUUUUGAGUGGUUAAUUCAGAAAUCUCCAUUAUCUUAGACUUGCAAAGUAGAACAGGACACUAACUGUUUUGGUCCCUUUUAAUAGAAACAGAACUCUCCAGGAUUUCUGCAUUAUUAUUUAGUGUGAACAUUACUAAUGUAUUUCCAUAUGACAGGUUCGUUCAACUUGAUGUGGGUCUUCUAAAGGUCAGAAAUAAAAUAAGUUGAGCAUAUUAGGUUUGUCACUUAAAGGGCUCUGCAGAUUGUUUUAGAUUGGCUUGAUUUUUUAUUCACUCAAUAUUUCUCUUUAUCUCUCCAUUUGAUCCUGUUCUAGUAUCAUUUAGUACUUGUUCUCAUAUGUUCAUUGAUAUUUAAGUUAUGUUCUUUCGUGUUCGAUUAUUUUAGGUGCUGUUGAAGAAGCAAAAGCAGUUUUUGGUCAAGCAGCUGCUCUUUGUGUUCAAAAGCAGUACGUGGAUCAUGGGGCAGCUGGCCCAAUUUUGUAUAUUUCCAGUGAGGAUUAUAAUUUGGUUUUGUCGCGGAAUACAUUGAAUCUGAGAACUUGAGUGAUCUAGAAGAUGUUGAUACAUGUCUUAAGGUAUAAUUUACUUUCAGUUUACAUUUGUCAUCUCUAGCAAAUGACUCAAACUUGAAAGUUACUGCAGCUUCUGUUCUUAACAUUAGUUGUCUUAAAAGUUGCAUUUGAAUGAAUCUGAAAAUUAUAUAAUCCUAAACUUAGUGUUCCUGAACACAAUUAUAACAUCUUUUCUUAGCAUAUAAACUUAGCAUGAAUCAAGUCAAUGAUCAGUUUAACUUUUCAGGUUUGGAGCCAUCAAACACUGGUGGUGUUGUCUUCUUUAUGGUUCAGACUGCGAGAGUGGAGAGGAGGAUAAAUGAGACAGAUAACUACAGCAAAUUGGUGUAUGUAUAGGAAGCUUAAAUUUUUAUUUUGUAGCAUUAAGUUUUCUGUAGCAUUAAGUUUUUAUUUUGUAUGCAUUGGUGUAUGUGAUUUUAUCAUGAGGAUAAUUGUUUUCUGUAGCUAUCUUUCCAUUGUUUAUUUUAGUUUUGAUUCUAAAUUUUUAUUUUUACUUUAAUAUUUACGACAAGUUGAGUUCUAACUUUUGGAUUUUAAUUUUGUUAUUAAUUUAUUAUUUUAAAUUUUAAAACUAAAUUCAUUAAUUUUUAUAUUUAGUUUUAAAGUUAAAAUUUUUAUAGAAAAUUUAAUUUUAAUAAUAUUUUUAUUUAUCCAUAAAAAAGUAUAUUUAAAGUUAAAAUUUUAAAAAUAAAACAUAAUAUAAUAUUUAUCAUAAAAAUAAAUAUUAUUUGAUUAAAAUAAUUUUUUUAAAGUUUAUGUUUUUAGCGGCGUUUUUGCUAGAAGCGUCGCUAAAGGUCAUGGUCUAUAGCGGCGUUUGUGGGAAAAGCGCCGUUAAAAGUCGUGGUCUUUAGCGGCGUUUGUGAUAAAAGCGCCGCUAAAGGUCUUGGUCUUUAGCAGCGUUUGUGGGGAAAGCGCUGCUAAAAGUCGUGGUCUUUAGCGGCGUUUGUGGGAAAAGCGCCGCUAAAGUUAGCAACGCGUUCUUUAACGGCGUUUUUUUCGGCGCUUUGCAAAGCACUGUUUUGGUGUAGUGAGAGUUUGAAGGAGGCGGUUCCACCAUUAUUUUGCCGGCAAUCAUAACUCAAUCGUUAAGUAUAUAAUUUGUGUUAAAAAAUGUAUUUAAAUGAUGGAGGGAGUAGGACAGGCAACACCUGUAUCUAGUUUACACCGGUUAAAAUGUAGGUUGAAAAAAAUAAUUUUUAAAGGCUGGAGAAAGGAACCUGAAAGGCAACAUCAGUGGAGGCAGUGUUUGUUUUGCUGGAAAUCAUAACCCUAUCAAGUAUAUAAUAUGUGUUAAAAAUAUAUAUAUUUAAAUGAUGGAGGGAGUAAGAGAUGCGACAUCUGUACGUAGUUUAUACCGAUUAUAAUACGGGUUAAGAAAAAUUAAUUUUUAAAGGCUGGAGGAGGGAACCUAAUAAACAACACUAGUGGAGGCAUCGUGUUAGGUAGCACCUUCUACGACGAAAGUGACUACACACUCACGGGGUCUGACGGCUUAAAUGGGCUGAUUUAGGUCUCACGUGUGAAAAAAAAUUAACUUUAAAAGAGGCCAUGGAUCUUUCAACUAUAAAAAAAUAAAAAAAAUUAAAAAAAGAAAGAAAGAAAAAGAAGCUAACAAUUUAUGAGAAGAGAAGAAGGGGAAGAUGUAGCACAGAAGAGAAGAAAGGUUUUGAAAGGUUAAAUUUUAUUAUUGUAAUUUUUUUUUUGUUUAGGGCUUUAAAGGGAGGAAUAUAUUGUUAUGUGGUUUUAAUAUUUAUUAUAUGUUUGAUUUAGGGUUUAGUGUGAAAGGAGGCAACAACAAAUUCUUUGAAAGGUAAUUUUUUUGUAAUUAUAAUUUAUUUGUUUAAUAUUUUUUAAUACUUGGGGUACGUUUGGUUCGCUGUAAUGGAAUAGAUGUGUAAUGAAAUAUAUGCGUAAUGGAAUAGAGGCGUAAUAGGUAGUUCAAUUGUUUGGUUGAAUGAAAUACAAUAGAGGCGUAAUGGUAUUCUUGUGUUUGGUUGAAUGGAAUAGAGGUGUAAUCUCAUAAGGAAAAAAACUAAAAUGACUAGAAUAUCCUUAGCAGAAUUUUUUUUAGGUAGAUGAUUAUUGUUAUUGUUAUUAAAUUUUAAUAAGAUUAUUAAUAUAAAUAAUAAAUAAUUUAAUCAUAUUUAAUAAAAAUUAUUAUUAAAUAUAAUUUAAUAAAAAUAUAUAAUUUAAUCUAAAGUUUGAAUGUGUAUUUACCUAGCAAAAAUCAACGAACUCUCGUGUAACUAUAACCUAAUAAUAUAUUAUGUAUAAUUAAUAUUUCGUGACUAAUUAAUAGCAUAGAGAUAAAUAUAGUAAUGAAGAAUUUAUAGUAUACGAUUAAAAUGCUAAUAAUUUAUAGUAUACAAUUAAAAUAUUAUAAAUAAAAUAAUAGUAAAUGAUAUAUAAGAUAAAUUAACAUAUAAAUAAUUCAUAUAUUUAGAAGGAAUAAAGAUAAAUUUAGUAAAUAAUNNNNNNNNNNNNNNNNNNNNNNNNNNNNNNNNNNNNNNNNNNNNNNNNNNNNNNNNNNNNNNNNNNNNNNNNNNNNNNNNNNNNNNNNNNNNNNNNNNNNCAAUCAGGUAAAACUCUGAUCUAGUUAUCACUUAUGUCCAACUCUUCAAGCAUCUCAAGGUUUCCAAUUGAUCUUGGUAAGGCUCUUAAAUCUGCAAAGUUCUUCCUCACAUUCAAUUGAUCUCAAGGUUUCCCCACAUCUCAAGGUUGAAGACUCCCUCUUACUUCACAAUGUACCUAUUAAAAAUUAUUGUAACCUACUUAAGUUCCAUGUAGCAAAGGAAAAGCACAAGAAUAAACUAGAAUUAAAGCUGGAUGACAGAACAUAUGCUUCUGAUAGAAAUAUUGACAACAUCAAAACAGAACACAUCCAAAUUUAUGGAUUUUCUUAUCCCAAAAGUUGUAGUUUCAGAUUAAUAUAUCAAACCUAGCAGUACAUCUCUCAAAUCAUAUAUUAAUAUUCUAAUGAAAUAAAUUUUCAUUUGUUUUCUCAAUAAAGACAAAUCAAUUGAGACACAACCCACCAGGCUUUGGCUACCAGGAUUGCACGACAUGCCUACCAGUUAUGUUUGUAACUUGUGCUUUAAAAUUAAGUUCAAUUAAUUGCUUAAAUCUAUAGCCCCUGAAAUAAGAAGAAUAUAGAACAUGGCAUAGCUACAUUUUCACUCUUUCAUAAUUAUACAAUCAAACAAUACAUACACACACAGACAUGCAUCAAAUUCUGACCGUAUACAACUUGACAGUUUUACAUCUCUGAAUAGUUCAUGAGUUUCAACCAAAGCAUUACAGAAGUUGCAGUAAAAGACAGUGAUUGUUUUUUUAUUGCUUCUAACUACAUUAUGGUCUCAAAGAAAAUGCAAACCUCAAAUGGAGGGGAAAACAAGUGCAAGUGACCAUAAAUAGCUAUGCAUUUCAAUGCUCAAUUAGAUAACCAACACUCAGAUUUGUGCAUAAAGUGUAGUGUGAAAUUCUUGAUAUCUUUAUUAGGACAUUCUAUGUAUAAUAAUCUAAACUUAUACAUUCUAUGUAUAAUUAUCUAAACAUAGAUAAUAAAGUUGCACUCUGUUGCUAGAAGUAGCAUGACAAGGUCUAAGGCAACAGAAAACAUAUAAAGUUAGUAUGUUGGACACAAGUGCUGGACAUGGGUACUUCAAGAAAAAUUAUUCAAGCAGAUCAUGCCCGUCAAAUUUCCAAGUAAUUAAAAACGUCUUAACAUCAUUUGAUAUAAAUAAUUUCAAACCAUCAAAUAUAUAUAUAUAAAAAGACAAUAUUCUCAACAGAUGUGAUAGAAAUAUCAUAUGGAUUUAAAACUUUGUAUGCACAAGUGCUAUUAUGUUGUUAAAUCUGAGGUCAUUGUGAAAUAUUAAUUAGACAUAGUCUUCACAGAAUUAAUACCAAUUCUUUAGCAAAGUGAUUAACCUUGGAAACUACUUGGAUCAAAAUUUGCAGAAAAAGAACACCCAUAUUAAAUCAUAACCAACAUCAAUUCACACAUCAGGAAUCUAGAAAAUACUAUGGCACUUUGAGACAAUCAUCCCCCCUAAGCUCCCUCCAACAUAUACCCAAGUCUCUUACUGGUGAAAUUAAAGCUUCAAGAACAAGAGUAGAGUCAAAAACAAACAUCAAAGGGUAUAAUACUCAAAGCAGUCGUUAUGAAAACACUUCUUGUAUUAUUUUGCUUAAGUUUAAACUAGAUCUCAUCUAUAUACAAAAGAAUAUAUUAGAAAAGAUAUAUGCAGUAACCAAUACCAUGAUCCAUUUUAUUUUCCCAUUUUUGAUAUAACAAUGUCUACUAGAAAUAUUUUCCUAUAAAAGAAGAAAAAAAUAACCAAAAAACUUGCCUUCAUUGUUGCCUGCAGAGCAGCACGCAUCGCAUCUCGCUCAACUUGCCUAACAAUGACUGAAGUUCUUGUAGAUUUCCUUAUAAUUCUUUCACCUUCUACAUCAUCAGGGGCAUCAUGAUACAAAAUCAAACAAACACGACCAGAGAAGAGGAACAAAAUCAAAAAUCGCGGCAACAAAUAUAGAUUCGAAUGUCAACAACCACGAAAACCAUGAAUAAAAAAUGCUUAGGAAAUCAGGAUGCUGACCAAGAGUUGAAGAACCAAAAGUUGAAGAAUUGAAUAGCAAAUACAUUUGCAGCCCAAAAUUUUGUCUGUCCUAGCUUUGGCAAUGAAAAAAAAUCAUAACCAGCAAGAAACGAAAUGCCGAUUUACCAAGAAACUAAUGAACUGAAACAAUUGCACCAAAAACUAAUCGCAUUUAUAAAAAAAAUUGCAAUAACACCCACUAAAAAUGCAUACAGAGAGGAAAGAAAUAGAGAUUACUCACAGGCCUAUAUAUUUGGGAAGCCACUACAACCACACUUUCCUCACAUAAGGUUGAAAAUUUAUCCCAAAAAUACCCUAAUUUCAAUAGACAAAACCCACCAUUAGUUGAAGAACACAAAUCUGUUUUUGGUCAACAAAACAAUCAUGAGGAAGAAAAUAAAAAUUUGAAUUAAGUGAAAAAAGAGAAGAAGCACUUGCCGCUUCAAUUGGGCCGGAGAUCUGAGACCUUGGAGUCGGCGAAAGAUGCCAAGAUGAAAGUUGAGAGCGGGUGGAGGUUUGGUUCGCUGGCAGCUUCUGUUGAUGUUGGGAGGGAGAGGGUGGGGAGGGUAAAAGAAAGAUUAAUUAGCUAAUCCUUGCUUUUGGAAUGGAUUACAAAUCAGCGCUGAAGCAGAGAAAAUGAGGAAUACGUCCGUAACGUAAUAGGCUCGUAUUAGGGCAAUACACCGAACCAAACACAGGAUUAAGUGGGGCCUACGGAAUAGGGGUGUAAUGGCUAAUCCAUUACACGUACCCAACCAAACAUGGUGUUAUUAUUUGUUUGAUUUUGUGGUUUUGGAAGGAAAGGAGGCAACAACAAAUAUUAUUUUGAAGGUAUAUUUUUAUUUUGUAGUUAUUAUUUACUUGUUUAAGGUUUUGUAAUUCAUAUUAUUUGUCCUAUUAUGUGGUUUAGUAAUUCACAUUAGUUUGAUUUGUAAUUAUUAUUUAUUGGACUUUACCACAAUAAUUUAAAAAAAUAAUUAAAUAUUAAAAUGGGGUACCCUACAAACUAAUUAUCGAAAUGGGUUAUUUGAUACAAGUUUGUACGAUGAUCCAUUUUGGUAUUUAAUUAUUUUUUUGGAUUAUUGUGGUAAAAAAGACCAAAUAUGCGAUAAAUUAAUUGUUUUCAAGUAAAAAAAUUAUCAUAAUACUUUUUAUUUUUUAUAAAAAAAAUAAAUCCCAGAUGAGAUUUUUAAAAUAGAAAAGCACGUUCUUUGUUUUUCUUCUAAUAGAAAAAUUAUCACAAUAAUUUUAACUUUUUUUAUAUAGAUUUAUACAUCUUACGUUAAAUUGAUUGAAUAUUAAUUAAUUGGAUUGAAUUUUCUUUGUCGAAACCACUUUUUUGAUUUGAAAACAGAAAUUGACUUUUAAAAACGAAAAUGGGAGUCGUCACCGAUCCUUUAUUGAGGUGUGAUUGGCUCACCUUGAAAAUUAUUUUGGUCUGUGAAAUUUGAGAAAACUGGUUCGGGAGUCAGUUACGCACGAGGAAGGGUUAGCACCCUCGUAACACCCACAAUUGGUACCGAAUCGAUUGUUUAAUGUCUUCGUGUCGAAAGUUUGAAAAGAUUUUACAAUACGAUCCUUUAAACUUGAAUAAAUUUAAUUAAAUGAUAAGACACUCUUAUUUCAAAGAAAUAAAAUGUCACACCCAGUGAGUUAGGGCGCAACAUUUUUAAUCUUCAAAAUUAAGUUUAUCUUUUGACUUUUAAAACCCAUGCAUUUCGAGAAGGAUAUUUGGUUAUUUGACUCAAAUGAAAAAUCAAAACCCAGUAAGUUAGGGUUCAAUUUCCCAAAAUUCCUAAAUACCGAAUAUUGCCUUUAUUGUUUUUUUAAAUCCUUAAUUCGAGGUAGCAAAAUGUUAUAUCCAGUGACUUAGGAUCCAACAUUUUGAAGUCCCAAAAAACUUUUAUUUAAAAUUUGUAUGGUUUUAUUGCAAAAGAAAUACUUGGCUAUCUAAAUUCAUCGAAAAGGAUUGAAGCCUAGUAAGUUAGGGCACAAUUCUCUCGAGAAUCGUGAACACCGAGCAUUUUUUUGAAAAUUUACGAAAUGGAAUGACUUUAGUGCUUUUAUGAAACAUCAUUUUUAAAAAAAAUGUAGUAUGAUUGAAUGGCAAUGUAUGAUGCAAAAGAUAACUGGUAAUCCAAAUACACACUAAGGGAUAAUAAACAAGCAAUAGAUAACAAGAAUAGCAACAACAAUUUUAAUCACAUUAUGCAAAUAUCAAUAUUAAUAUUCAAAAAUUAAACAAAUCCAUCAUCAAAUUUUUAAAAGAUACACCGAGAUAAUACAAAAAUAUAUCCUAUGUAUAAAAGUUUUAAAAUAAAAAUAUAUAAGAAUAUUCAAAAGGUGAGUUUUAAAACAGAAUAAAAAUAAAACAUCAAAAUAUAUAAAUUAUAUCAAAUUUUCAUAAAAAUAUAUAUAUUAACAAACAAUGAAUUAAAUAAUAAUAUGUCAAGUUUGAAAAUAAAAGUAUAUAAUGAAUUUUAAAAAAUAAUGUAUGAUAAUUUUAAAAUAUGUUAGUAAUAAUUUAAAAACAAUAGCUUAUUAUAUUUUAAAACUAUACUAAUAGUGAGUUUAAAAACACUAUCAAAUUUAAAUAUUAAAAUAAUAUUAAUUUUUUUAAAAGAUAAUAUGUCAAAAUAAGACUAAUUAUAAUUAAAAUUAAGUACUAAAAAAACUAAAUUAAAUACUAAAUUAAAAAAAUAAAAAAAGACAAAUUUGAGCUAAAUUGAUAAUUGAUUCAACACUGCGGGACUAAAACAACAAUUAAACGCAAAGGCUCAAAGAUUCAAAACCAAUUAAUGAAAACGGUGCCGUUUAACCUUGGACCAAAAUGUGACUAGAAUAAAAUAUAUGGUAUAUAUUUAAAAAUUAAAGAAAAUCAUAUUGCAGCAAUACAAAACAAAGGGCGACUGGUUGCGAAAAUAAUCCAAUUAACCAAAAAGUGCUGAUCCUGCCCUCGGGUCGGGCCAUCACGCGGAUCUGAGCCUUCAAACGACGCUAUUUCGAAACCAUCGUAUUGGUAUCAAACGACGACGUUUUAAUCACCAUGCUUGAAGGCUAAAAUAACCCUAAAAGCCAUAACCCUUUCACUUAAAAAAAACCUAAACUAAACACUCUUUGCGCCGCUCUGUGAAUCGUCCACUCAAGGACUCUCCGAACCUAUCCUAAACUCCAAUGACGACGGGGAGAGCUAGGAUUCGGCCACAAGCCAAUCUCUUAACUUUCUAAUUUCCUUCCUUUUAUUCUUUUACUCGAAUCAUGAACCAAACAAGCGUAGAAAAGAAAACCAAAAGAAAAAAAAACGAAAGAUACAAAGGAAAAAAAAAUCAAAUCACCUUUAGAAUUCUGCUAUUUUCCUUAAAUAUUUUUCUUGAUUUUCAAUAUGUUGUAUGCGUAAUAUUUUUACAGAUUCUAAUGUAGCUUUAUAUAGCCAAAUAAUAUAGGAAAUAAAAAAUUACAGAAAUUAUUAUUUUUUCUAUUCUCUAUUUUUUGUUGUUAUUUGCUGCGUGACUGUUUCUGUUACUGCUGUUUGUUGCAGGAACGAGGCCAGCCUGGAGAAGAGGAAGCGCACGCGCGCGGAGGUGUAGCACGCGCGAGGAAAUCUGCAACGCCUGAGCCACUGUUGCGGCGGCUGAAACCACUAUUGCUAGGGUUCUAAUUUCUGCUUGUGUUUUAGGCUAAUUCGGGUAUAGGUUUGGGAUGUUUGUAUUGGGUCGUGUUGCAUUUUGGGGCUAGAGUCUGUAUUGGUUUUUUUUGGGUAAAUUAUUUUGGGCUAAUGUAAAUGGAUUAUUUUUUGGCAUGUUAUUUUAUUUUAUUUGGUUUUUAUUUUUUUAUUUAAUCUGCAUGGGCCUGGGCUAAAAUUGGGUAUUACAGCUGCCCCUCUUUGCUCGUUGUCGAAUAACGAGAACAGAGUAAAGACUUUAGAAAUGGCUAAUUUUUUCCCGGUCGCGCUAGUUCUUGGUGCUCUUCUUCUUCAAGUAACCUCAUUCUAACCCACUGCAUCUUCAAUGGUAUAGGAAUUAGUGAUUUGAUUCAUUCCACUGUGGCGCUAGGGAAAUAAGAUUCACUGUUGUAGCUUUAAUCUGUUCCACUGCACCUCCAGGGAAGUAAGAUUCGUUGUUGUUGCUUCAAUCUAUUUAACUACAAUGUCGGGGAAGCAAGAUUCGCUAUUAUAGCUUAAAUAUGUUCCACUGCAUCGCCAGGGUAGUAAGAUUCGUUGUUGUAGCUUCAAUCUAUUCCACUGUAAUGCCAAAGAGAUAGGAUUCGCUACUCACAGCUUUAAUCUACUCCACUUCAGCUAUUCCAAGUCUUAACGCCAAGGAGAUAAGAUUCGCUACCCUCAGCUUUAAUCUGCCCCGUUGCAACGCCAAAGACACAAAAUUCGCUAUCUUUAGCUUUUAAUCUGUUCCACUGCAACGCCAAGGCAAUAAGACCGGUGUUUUCGAUCUGCUUCGCCGCCAGUACAGGAAGGCAAGAUCUGCUAUUUUCAACCUACUCCAUUGCUGCUCAGGGAGAUAAGGCUGGUGUCUUCGAUCUGCUUCGCUGCCAGUAUAGGAAGACAAAAUCUGCUAUCUUCAGUCUGCUCCGCUGCAACUCAGGGAGAUAAGACUUGCUAUCUUCGAUCUACUUCGCUGCCAGUACAGGAAGACAAGAUCUGCUAUCCUCAGUCUGCUCUGCUGCAACUCAGGGAGAUAAGACUUGUUAUCUUCAAUCUGUUUCGCUGCCAGUACAAGAAGCCAAGAUCUGCUAUUUUCAACCUACUCCACUGCUACUCAGGGAGAUAAGGCUGAUGUCUUCGAUCUGCUUCACUGCCAGUACAAGAACAUAAGAUCUGCUAUCUUCAGUCUGCUCCGCUGCAACUUAGGGAGAUAAGACGUGUUAUCUUUGAUCUACUUUGCUGCCAGUAUAGGAAGACAAGAUCUGCUAUCCUCAGUCUACUUCGCUGCAACUUAGGGAGAUAAUACUUGCUAUCUUCGAUCUGCUUCGCUGCCAGUACAGGAAGACAAGAUCUACUAUUUUUAACCUACUUCACUGCUGCUCAUGGAGAUAAGGCUGAUGUCUUCGAUCUGUUUUGCUGCCAGUACAAGAAGAUAAUAUCUGCUAUCUUCAGUCUGCUCUGCUGCAACUUAGGGAGAUAAGAUUUUCUAUCUUUGAUCUACUUCGCUGGCAGUACAGAAAGACAAGACCUGCCAUCCUCAGUCUGGUCCGUUGCAACUCAGAGAGAUAAGACUUGCUAUCUUCGAUCUACUUUGCUACCAAUAUAAGAAGACAAGAUCUGCUAUUUUUAACCUACUCCACUGCUGCUCAGGGAGAUAAGGCUGGUAUCUUCGAUCUACUUCACUGCCAAUACAGGAAGACAAGAUCUACUAUUUUCAACCUACUCCACUGCUGCUCAAGAAGAUAAAGCUGGUGUUUUUGAUCUACUUCGCUACCAAUACAGAAAGACAAGAUCUGUUAUUUUUAACCUACUCCACUGCUGCUUAGGGAGACAAGGCUAGUAUCUUCAAUCUACUUCGUUGCCAAUAUAGGAAGACAAGAUCUGCUAUUUUCAACCUACUCCACUGCUGCUCAAAGAGAAAAGGCUUUAUGGUUUCACCGAUUUGUUCUCUGGGGAACAUGACCUGUAUAAUUCAUUUUAUGAAUCAAAUUAUGCCUAGUGAUUUGGAUGUCAUGAUCAGAAUGAAUCAAAUGCUCCUAACUAGAUGUGUAUAAAUGAUAUUUGAAUGAAUGAAGAAUUUUAUUUUUUUUGAGAAUGAUCCGCUCAGGUUAUCAUUACUCAAAGUUCCUUAAAAUUUUAUCACUGACGUGCUACAACGCCUUCUUGCUCGGCUGACAUCUCCAAAGAAACACUUAAUCAGAUUGCCCCCACUAUAAACUUCAAAGUUCAAUCUACUGAGAUGCAAAAAUUGUACCAUCUUUCUUCCACUGUAACCCAAGGGCAUAAAAAUCUAGCUUUUUCUCAAUCCUUUUCUAGCGCAAUUUAAGGAUACAGAAUGUGAAGCUCUUUGGUCUUUUACAUCGUUCUCAGGGUGUCAUACCAAAUGCCUAUACACAAAUGAAGAAAUCUCUUCUCCAAGAAUAGGUUUGUCACCAUUGUUUGCUUGUUCAUUUAAGCUUUGUCAUCAUUACGACAUCUUGUCAUUUUGUUCAAUCAAUGUUUUUUACAACAAAAUCCAAAGAGAUAGUCUUAAUUUAGACUCUUCCUUCUCAAAUUUCCAACCUUUAAACUUGGUGCGUUCUAAACAAUAGUCCUAUUUCAGGUUCCUAUAUUAUUUAGAAACUUCUAGAGUAAUAUGCGAAACUUCCCUUCUAAAAUUUUUAUUACUCUAUUAAUCAUUAUUCUAAUGCAAUAUGCUUGCAAAAAGAACAUAGCGAUGGAUAAAAUAAAAUUAAUUUGAGAGCAUAGCUCGAAAUGAAUAAAUUAUCAAGGAUAGUAAGAAUAAAAACAAAGAAAUUGAUUGGGAAUGCUUCUCUUGGAAAAGAAUGAAGUGUUCCAAGAAUAACAAAUUUAGUAUAAAUAGUAUGAAGAUUAGGUGCCCCAGAUAUCACAGCUUGAGCUUCUCUGUACAAACUUUCUGAAGACCAUUCUGAGGUUGACAUGUGUUUAGGAGAUCUACAGUACUCUGUCAAUGCCCCAAGAUAUCGCGUACCCUUUCCUGAUGAUUCUGAUAUAGCAAGAUCGUUGCAUGCCCCAUUCUGAUUAAUAUUUGAGCCGCACUGGUCAUCUCAUGCCCCAUUUUGAUCAAUAUUUGAGUCGCCCUUUUCGGGUUUUCAACUCAAAUCUCCUUUGGUCUCAAUGCGCCCUUUGCGGAUUUUCACUUUUUUUUUUAGGAAUCAAAGCGCCCUUUGCGGGUUUUCACCUUGGUCCCUUCUCCUUCUUCAGGUGAAGUAUUUCUUGACCGAAUCUAAGUUUACAGAAUUUGACAAGUUUUUACCAUCUAUCUCACUCAAGGUCGAAGCUCCUCCGGAAAAGGCCUUUGGCAUCCAUUUUCCUCUAAAAUCCUUUUGUAUAGGAAGGAUAUUUUUCAACAUUAAGUUCUCUUCAUAGAAUUCUCUGGGACGAACCUUUUUGUUGUAGGCCCGCAUCAUUCACCUUUGGUACAUUUGACUCUGCUGAAUAGCUUUUAGCCUUUUUCCCUCUAUUAGGUUCAACUGAUCACAUCGCGAUUGGAUCCAUUUUGCUUCAUCCAACUCUUAGCUCAACUAAUACCCAGAGAAAAGAGAUUUCUACUUCAAUGGGUAAAACUACUUCCAUCCCGUAAAUCAAAGAGAAAGGUGUUACCCCGGUGGAAGUCUUGAUAGAUGUUCGACAAGCAAGGAGGGCAAAUGAUAAUUUCUCAUACCAGUCCUUGUAAGUCUCAGUCAUUUUUCCACAAUCUUCUUAAUAUUUAUUUCUGGGUGAUACAGUGAUGAAUCGCGGUGUUUGAUUUUGAAUUGAUUACAGACCUCAGCUAUCGUGCUAUCAUUCAAGUUCAACGCAUUCUUCGAUACCAUCUUCUCUGGAAUUCUAUAUCGACAUAUGAUGACAUUGGUGUAUAAAGCAGCCUCUUCCCGUUUGAUGAAGUAAUUAAUGAUCUCAAAAAUGAAGCAAUACCCAUUAGAAGCCUUCGAUGAUGAUGACGUCCAGGCCUCAUUUUACUCAAAAUUUGAGUCGCCCUUUUCGGGUUUUCAACUCAAAUCCACCUUUGGUCACAAAGCGCCAUUUGCGGGUUUUCGCCUUGGCCUUUCAUUUUUCUUUUCUUUUUCAUUUUCCUUUUUCUUUUUUUAUCAUUUUUAUUUUUUUAUUUUGAUUUUGAUUUUUUUAUUUUGAUUUUGAUUUUUCUUUUUUUCUUUUCUAUUUUUUAUUUUUUUGAUUGAAUCUGAACUCAUAGGAUUAGUCUUUGUUACCCUUUUGAUCAGAACCAAUGUUUUUCUAGAUAAAGUCUUCCACAUAAGAUCUUCCACUUUCAUCUUGUAUGCGAAAAAUCUUCUUUGGUAUCAGAUUUCUUUCAUAGAGCCUUUUGGGGAAAAAUUUAACUAUGAUGAAAAAACCUUGGAUCUUCCUCUUCAAUUAGGAUGAAAUUUAACAAAAAUACGAAGCGAUCGACUUCAAUGGGCAAAGCUAUGAUAAGUCAAAAAAAAAGGCAUUCCCUACAUUCUUUAACCCGAAUGACCCCACUUUAUAGCAAAACGUUCCCCAUAAAGUAUGAAUAUGGUCUUUCCCAUAUCUUCGGGAUGCAUCUUUAUCUGAUUGUAUCCAGAGAAGCCGUCUAUGAAGGAAAACAGUGAGUAGCCUACCGUAUUAUCUACUAAAGUGUCAAUGAGAAGCAAUGAGAAAUUGUCUUUUGGGACUGGCUUUGUUCAAAUCCCUACAAUCCACAUACAUUCGUAUUUUCCCAUCUUUUUCAAAAACUAGUACGAUGUUGGCUACCUAUUCUGAAUAUUUGAUCGCUUGUAAAAAACCAGCAUCAAAUUACUAUUUGACUUCUAUUUUUUAGCACAAUAUCAGGUCUCAUCCUCUUGAGCUUCUACUGAACUGGCUUGCAAUCCUCUUUUAUAGGAAAGUGGUGCACUAUAACGUCAGUGCUUAACCCGGGCAUAUCUUGGUAUGACCAUGUGAAGACAUCCUUGAAUUCUUGGGGUAACUCAAUAAGGUCUCGCUUCAUCUUUGCGAUCAUGUCAAUUCCAAUCUUUACUAAGCUCAUAAUUUCUAAUGAUUCCUUGUGAAGUAGGAUCUGUCUAUCCUCUUGUUCUACCAUCCACAACAAGUCCGGACAUAAGCUACAAUCUAUGUUAUCUUCAAAGUCAUGAGAUCCCUCUAAACACAUGUCUCACUCAAAAAAAGAUUCUGAGUCUGUAGCAGCGUCACUCAUGUCAUUGAUAUCUGGGGACCCAUAGUAGGUACCAAAUAAUAUACAAAAGAAUAUAUGAAUUUAUGAAUAAUUAUUUGUACAAUAUGAUUAUGAAUGAAAGAAUGAUGUGGAAAAAAUCAAAAAGAAUGAAAGAAUAAUUAUUCGAAAAAAAUGAAAGAAUAUUGGCUCAAAAAUGAAUGCAAAGAUGUAUUUUAUUAUAAUAAUGACGUUCAGACAUAAGCCUAUUUCACAGAGGAAUUGCUAUCAUUAUUAGGCUAAAAACAACAAGAAUGUUUUGGACAUUACUCAAAGUAAGCUCUAAAAACUACAGGGAUUUCUUUCGCAGUCCAAUUGUUUAGCUCACUCCCAGGUUUAUAAGGGCAGAUCUCUAAAAAGGUCCCUCCUUCAAUUGUGUCUAUGGCAUUGAUAUGAACAUUUUCCAACCUUUCCUCAUACAUCGCAUUCACCUCAUUAUCAACAUGAUUGGGUAGUGGGUUUUCUGUACUGGAUGAAUCAUCAAUUGUGACAAUACCCAUACUGAUGAGCCUUUCAGCAAGCUUUUUAAAUGUGGUACAAUUUUCUAUAGAAUGCCCUAUAAUUCCUGCAUGGUAGUCACACUGUGCAUUCGUGUCGUACCAUUUGGGCUAUGGAGGUUGUAAGGGUUUCAAAUAAGAAGGGGAAACAACGUGUGCAUUGAAUAAACUCUGAUACAGCUCAUUAUACGACAUUGGAAUUGGUGUGAACUGGAGCGUCUCAGUGUUUUCCCUCAUGCUAGAUUCUUGUCUUGAUAAACCUUGUUGAUUCUUAGCCACCUUUCUUGGUUGAUUCACCGUAAUCGAUUUGCUAUAUGUAUUCACGUUGUUCACCCCGCUUUCCUUUUUCUUCGGGGCUAACCUUCCAUUACUUUCUCCAGCAUCAAUCUUUCCGCUCCUUAUGGUAUUUUCAAUCAUUUCACCAUUCAUGACUAUGUCAGAAAAGCUUUUUGUGGCACUUCCUAACAUAUGUGUGAUGAACGGGGCAUUCAAUAUAUUUAUAAAGAGCAUUGUCAUUUCUCUUUCCAAAAGCAGUGGCUGAACUUGGACGGCGACCUCCCUCCAGCUCUGUGCGUACUACCUAAAACUUUCAUUCGACUUAUUUUUCAUGUUUUGUAAGGUGAUUCUAUCAGGAACCAUUUCUGCUACAUGACUGUACUGUUUCAUAAAAGCCUGUGCCAAAUCCCUCCAGGAACUAAUCUUAGUACGGCUCAAUUGAUUGUACCAUUUAGAUGCUGCCCUUGUGAGUCUAUCCUGGAAGUAAUGUAUUAAUAGUUGGUCAUUGUUAACAUAUCCAGUCAUUCGCCUACAAAACAUGGUGAUGUGGGCUUCAGGGAAACUAGUCGCAUUAUACCUCUCAAAUUCUAGCAUUUUAAACUUAUAACGGAGCACCAAAUCUGGGACCAAACUCAAAUCUUUAGCAUCCAUUCCACAAUAGCUUUCAGUACUUUCCAUUGCCCUGAAUUUUUCUUCAAUCCAUUUCCACCUUUCUUCUAUCUAUUUUGGCAAUUCUUCCUUUGCUUUGUCUUUCCCAGCCACUUCGUCGAAAUUAGGGAUAAUAUGAUUAAUGGGGUUAUCUCUAGGGUUAGAGCUAGAUUCGGCUUGAAAGUUCAUUGGUAUUGAGGUACUAGCCUGAAACUACUGAGGCCUGAUUGUGACAGAGGAUUUGCACAAGUGUACCUCAACUUGGGUUUGCACAUGCGGAUGAGUAAAACUAGGAGGAUAGAGAGGUCCAUCAUUGUCUCCUUCUUCAGCAUUAGCCAUAGGGCCCUUCCCCUUAUUUACUCCACCCGUCAAUAGUUGAGUCAACUGAGCCAUCAUAUCUUUUUGAGAUUCCAGCAUCUUUUCUGUCAUAUCUUGGUAAAUUUUGUUUAACUGCUCAUUCAUUUGUAUUUGUAACUGUUCUUGCAAUUCCUUUUGAAACUGCUCGAGCUUUUCCAAUCUUUGAUCCAUAGUUCUUGACUUUGCUCGGGUACUGUAACGGUGUUUGGUUGAUUGGUUUUCCAGAUUAGCUAAGGAAUAAUUUUAACCAAUUAGGGCUUUUUAAUAAUCUUUAAUGCAUAUGAUGUCAUGUAAUGCAAAUGCAUGAAAUGAAUGCCUAAAGAGAUAUUGAUUCUGAUUCAAUUACAUUUAGAAAACUUUACUAGAAAACAAACUUCUUUACAUAAAACAGAUGCAUGUACGGCCUCGCCCUCAUAUUCUAAGAGACAACAUCGAUCCUUUCCUUCAUCCGUAUGUUUAAGAUGAAUCUCGUAAAUUUCCAAUGGAUGUCACUACUAGCUCCUUUUGCUUGAUCCUGGUCGCGAUCCAUUGUCUGCCUAUCUGCGUAAUGCUUAUCAGCUUCUUUAAGGAAGUUGGAAUGUCGAAGGCUCUUAGACAAUCAUCUUGAAUCUUCUGGCCACGAAGUAAAGUCAUGAACUCUUCCAUCACCGUUCUUGUGUUUCUCGGAAUAUAUUCAGGCAUCUGUAUUAUUUUCCGCUUUAUCAAGAUAUCUGUAUUCCAUGAUAAGUUUUCUAAUUUAGAAAUCAAACUUGAAUCAACAUUUCUUUUCUAAGAUGCAAAUGCAAUGCAAUCAUAAUCAAAACAAAACAAAACGAGUUAGUACAAAACAAAAGCAAACAAGAAGGAAAAAAAUACCUAGUCGGGUAACCACUAGGGGUUUGGAGUGGCUCUACCUAAGAUGGGUUCCUAAGGUCUUCUACAUGCGGUUUGGUUCUAAAGUCAAGGUACCCGAACCAGCAGAUUCCUCGAUCCUCACCCAUUAUAGGCUCAUAUGGACCGAGUUCGAUUCAGGGGAAUACAUUUCCCUAUGGCUGCACGGAGAUGAAAAUCUCACGAAGACAUAGGUACAGAUGUAUCCCGAAAGUGAUCCACUAUCCUGCACAAAGGUGAAAACCUCACGAAGGAGUAGCUUCUCACUCCUACUUAAGAAGGUAAGACUAAACAGCCUUUAUGCAAUAUGAUGCCAAUAUAUAAAACUCAAUUUACAGUAAUCAUACCACAAAUAAAUGCAAUGAGAGGAUCGUAAUUUUUCAAAUCAAAUUUUUAAUUUUCAACAAUAAGAUAAAAAAACAAUCAAUUUUAUGGCUUGACUCUCUAGGUCCCCGGUGGAGUCGCCAAGCUGUCGAAACUAUUUUUUUAUUUGAAAACGAAAAUCAGCUUUUAAGAACGAAAAUGGGAGUCGCCGCUGACCCUUUAUUAAGGUGUGAUCGGCUCACCUUGAAAAUAAUUUUGGUCUGCGAAAUUUGAGAAAACAAGUUCGGUAGUCAGUUACGCACGAGAAAGGGUUAGCACCCUCGUAACACCCAAAAUUGGUACUGAAUCGAUUGUUUAAUGUCUUAGUGUCGAAAGUUUGAAAAGAUUUUACAGUACGAUCCUUUAAACUUGAAUCAAUUUAAUUAAAUGAUAAGACACUCUUAUUUCAAAGAAAUAAAAUGUCACACCUAGUGAGUUAGGGCGCAACAUUUUUAAUCUUCAAAAUUAAGUUUAUCUUUUGACUUUUAAAAUCCAGGCAUUUCGAGAAGGAUAUUUGGUUAUUUGGGUCAAAUGAAAAAUCAAAACCCAGUAAGUUAGGGUUCAAUUUCCCAAAAUUCCUAAAUACCGAAUAUUGCCUAUAUUUUUUUUAAACCCUUAAUUCGAGGUAGCAAAAUGUCAUAUCCAGUGAGUUAGGAUCCAACAUUUUGAAGUCCCGAAAAAUUUUUAUUUAAAAUUUGUAUGGUUUUAUUGCAAAAGAAAUACUUGACUAUCUAAAUUCAUCGAAAAGGAUUGAAGCCCAGUAAGUUAGGGCACAAUCCUCUCGAGAAUCGUGAACACUGUGCAUUUUUUGAAAAUUUACGAAAUAGAAUGACUUUAGUGCUUUUAUGAAACACCAUUUUUAAAACGAAUGUAGUAUGAUUGAAUGGCAAUGUAUGAUGGAAAAGAUAACUAGUAAUCCAAAUACGCAAGCACAAGGAUUUUUACAUAGGCCCGACAUGAAUUAUGUAACACCUAUCGCCCGACAAAAUCAUUGGGUCCAAGCUAUGAAAUGCUACAUUCGUUGCCGAAGUAACCUUACUCAUUUAACUUUCAAUUUGAAUCAUUAAACAAGUAAUACAAGCAUUAUAAGUAAUAAAUUUAGUAUUCAACCAUUAUCUAGUCUUACACAAGCUUACAAAUGCUCUAAUGCUAACCCAUGAUCGAAAAAUGACCUAAUUGCAAAAUUUUAUAAACAUCGAUUCGUCGCGGAGAGGAGGUUCCUCGUUGCACCGGGCCUGGAAUCUUGGGCUCGUCGCAAUGUGACAUCUGUUUCUACAAUUAUACAAUACACAUAGGAUAUAACACCUUAAUAUUCAAUUACUACAUCCACUUGAUUUAAAGCAAAUCAAGACAUAUCAAUUAGCUCAAACAUUCAAAUAUCGACCUUCAACUAUGCCAUAUCAUAUUGAAUCAAGCCAUUCCAUUUCAAUUACUUACAAAUUUAAUUCACUCAUCAUAACCUUUAUGACCUUGAUAUGAACCAUAUUAAUUCCAAACCAAUACUUACCUCAAACAUGACGACCAAUCAUACCAAUUUCAACUAGAUAUCAAUUAUUUCAAAAACAUGCAUCCACUUAACCAUUCAUUUUACCUUUUACCACAAUCUUUUGUAUACCAAUUUCAAAAAGGUACUUAUAUCACCUCCUCAAAACUUCAAACAUUGCCAUGAAACAUAUACAAAAUCUUCACAAGCCAAAUUCAUUUCCAUGUUCAAAUCAUCAAGACUUUAAAACAUUAAAGUAUGUACCAAGACACUUAUAUACAUGCCACAACCCUAAGUUCAAAAUGAUUAAACAUCCACAGAUUUGGUGAUAGGAUAGUGUAAGCUUUUAGUCGAUCCAGCUUGACAUGUUCCAAGGGUAACAAUCUACAAGAAAAAUGGAAAACAAACGGAGAUUGUUGGUAAGUUCAUAGGCAUUAAACAAAAGUUUACUUUAGUUUUCAAUUAAGCACAAUAAGCUACUAGCUUGACAUAAAUUGUCUAGACAUGACAAAUCACAAUAACAACAAGGUGAACUUUAACAUAUAAUAAAACUGCAUAACAUCUAAAUCACUUAUCAUAUCAAUUCAUGUCAUUUUGUACAACAAUUUUACAAUCUCCAUUACACCGGUGAACUCUAGUAAAUGGAUUUCAAUACACGGGUAUCUCAAUUACACCAGUUGCUCGUCCGAGCUAAAUAUAUUUGUGUCAGGUUACUCAUCUGGGCUAAAGCUUUAAAACGACACCAGGUUACUUGUCUAAGCUAAACAUAUGCCACAUGUAUCUGAGUAUCUAUAACUAAUGCUGGAACUCAGUAAUCAUCUGUAACCAAUCCAGUAAUAGUGCACACAAAACCCUAUUGACAUGCCAAUUGUAUCCCAACCUUUAUCACCCAUUACACAAUUUAACAUUUCUUUACAAUUUAGUCCAAAUCUCAACUUUUGAAUCAAUUCACAACCAAUCACAUAUAAUUAGAAACCAAGUACAUAAUAAUCCAUAUGAAUAAUUACCAUAUGAACUUACUUGGUCAAAGCAACAAAGAAGUUAAAUUUUAAGUGGCUAAUAGAUAAUUUUGGCUUCUUUCUAAUUAUCUUCGGUUUGAUCCAAUUCUUGAUCUAUACUUAUUUUAAAUAAUUCAUCAAUACCAACAAUUUUCAUAUUAUACCAUGAUAUGUAUGAACCUAUACAAUUUUAUUUUUCUAAUACCUAUAAAUUUUUUACAUUUUAUUCAAUUUAGUCCAUAAAUUCGAAAUACUCAUAAAUUUCAAUUUUGAGCUUCGAUCUGAAAACUGUAACAUCUAUACCCAACCUGGUCUCUGAGUUCGGGUCUCAGAUGAUACAAAUCCUGAAUAACUGGCUAACACAUUUGAGUUAUGUUCUCAACUAAUUGACAAUACACCAUAAUAUAUACUAGCAUAAACAACUUUUAAAAUUUCUGCUUUACAACUUCAUUUAAAACUUUGACUUUCAAACUCUAAAAUUUUAUGACUUGACUAAAACCCCGAGGCAUAGUCUCUAGGAGCACCCCUUUAUACACAUGUUACAGCUGCCACUCCCUUCUCUUUCAGGUUGGCGAAGUCUGGCUCAACCUCCAUUUGAUUUUCGGUGACAACUUUAUCCUGUAAUUAAGCAGUCCAUUUGUAUGUUCAAUAAAACUUAGUGGGAAUUCUGCAUAAUAGACAUAUAGCAAAAUUCAAAACUAAGGGAUUGGAGUUUAAAAAUAAUUUUUCCACUCUCUAGUCAUCCUUGGCCAUUAGCUGAUUGUAUCGAUGAGGUCUUUGUCUUCCCCUUUUUCCCUGCAGCCUACCGUUGAUUGACUUUUUCUCUAUAUGUAAUCUACACAAAUUUUCUUCUAGAUAUGGGUUCUCUAGGAACAUGGACUUGAACACACCUCAACCAAAUUUAUUUUCCCACGCAACCUUAGAUGGGAGACCCAAUGUCAGUCAUUGGUUAUCUGUCAUUUAUUUCCUUGGGUUUCAAAUUCUUAUCCUCCUUAUUUCCUUGACAAACUACCUGCCUUAAGUUAGUCCUUGACGGACUCCUUCUUUUUCCAACUCAAGUGACUUAACCUUGUAUGACCUCGAUAGACUUAGCCACCACUAAUAGCCCCUUAUUCGUGGACUCUUUAGUCUCGGUCCUUUGUCAGGUACAUUCUCGCUUGUUUCGUCAGCCUUAGAGCUCAUUCCUUUUUAGCGACCCUCAUCAAUUAUCGUUGCUGCUAAGAUCCUCCACUUUAGAAUUCCUGUGUCCACUUUCCCUGUUGAUUCUUCAUACUUCCAUAGUUGAGCUAUGGUCUCACACUCUUUUAUCCCAUUUUGAAUAUGCUGGUGGUAUUCUCAUGUCUUCUAUUCUAGCAGACUUUACCCUGAUUAUCAUCUCAACAGAUUAUCCCUUAUUUACUGUCUCGCGGACUACCCUGUGAUUACUGCCCCAGCAGACUCCACAUGACACCAUAGCCGAACUAUGGUCUUACACAAUAUAACACAUGUUUAAAGUCCUACAAAACUCUAUUGGUUGCCAUAGCCAUACUAUGGUCUUACACCUUGUAAUCGUUGUGUUUACUGUCUCGAUGGACUAUCCAUGAUGCUGUAGUGUCUUCCAGCUAUGGUCUUACUCAAUAUAACCCCGUGUUUACUAUCCCGACGUACUAUCAAAGGAUGUUAUAAGGUCUUUCAGCUAUGGUAUUAGUCUUAUUUACUAUUUUGGUGUACUUUCAUAUGAUGUUAUAGCAUCUUUUAGCUAUGGUCUAACUAAUUUCUAUCAUGAUAUCAUAACAUAUUUCAGUUAUAGUCUUACUCAUUUUAGGCGUAUAACCUCUAAUUGGAUCUAUGGCCUAGCCAUGAUCUUUCUUAUUUACACUUCCCAUUGCAUUCCUUCUAUUCCUCCAUUUAACCUUUCUUAACCUUGAUGCUCAAACAUCGCACUGUCUCCUCCGCAAGGCCCGAAGCUUUGCACAUCGUAGUUUGCACUCAGCAAUACCGUAUGGCGAUAUCUAAUAGAAUCACCCUUUUUCCCAUUCUAACUUCAUCUAUCCCUUUAAUAAUUUCCUACCAUGGUUCACCAUGUAUAGCAUACAAACACAAAUAUUUGGAAUCACUAAAAACAUAGUAAUAAGGAACAAGCCAACUAAUACAUGAGUCAUUUACCACAUUCACACCAAAUUUAUGCUAUUCAUUCAACAUCUCAGAAAAGGAUAUAAAAACUCACAUUUCUUCCUUAUUUUUAAUAGCUUAGCUUGUUCUAAUGCUAAAGCCUCAUUCAUCCUCGUAGCUAAGCAUAACAAUAAUUUAUUGAUUAACUUGAAGUCAUUCAAACUUUAAAACCCAUAAUUUAUAAUUUUACAAAAGUUCAAAGGAUUCUUACUCUACUUUUUUUUCUUCAAUCCACAAGUUCAAAGGGAUAAGGAAACUUACCAGUUUUCGAUCUUUGUACUUCUAGACUCAAAUCUGCAUGAAGGUUGCAACAUGCAUGACUUCCUUUAGCUACAUCCUCUUCUUCUUCAUGGCGACUGAAGAAGACGAAGCUUAGAGAGAGAUUUUGGGGAAGCAAAAUUGAGAGGAAUUUCAUUCCCACGUACACCUAUAUAUACUCCAUCAGCACGGUCUCCACAAACCAUUGCUACCACUUAAUCUUAAUUAUUAUGUCUCCCAUUAUGCAACCAACCGGUUCCAAUCUAACUAAACCAUGAUUGAAAUUUAAUCAUCCUCUAACCAACCACUCAAGUUUUCUAAAUAUCUCAUUAGAGUCAUCAAGUUCCCCUUUCCAUCCAAUUGGCUCCCAAACUUUUCUUUAAGUUAGGGUCCUCAGGGGACCAGGCAUGACAACUUUCCCACCCUAAAAGAAAAUUUCGUCCUCGAAAUUUUUCUCUUGUGGUGGGUCAUGAGCAGCCUGCAGGAAACCUAUCCUUCUUAAGAUUAAGAACAUAAGUAAAUACCAUCUUUUCUGUUGCUAAACAAUAAUUAAAACGUUGAGGUAUAAUAAAUCGACAUUUAAACUAAGUUUUCUACUAAAUUAAAUAAAUGUUUUAAAAUAAUUAUUUUCAAAAACUCCGAUAAUCCUGCUAGGCCAUCUCGGUGGCUGAUGUAAUCCCUUGAAUUUAGGUCUAACGUCUAGGCCAGGUUAGGGAGGUUACAAUACCAUAAUGAUUACAUGGACCAAUAUUUUGGCACCGACAUCGCCCGACAUUGUAGAUUUCAGGUCAUUUUUUUAAGUAAUAAAGUUUUCGGGUUAUUUUUGAAAAAAAAAACCCCUAUUUUUGUAACAUUUUAUAGUUGGGUAACCAAAAAAAAAGAAUUUACUUUCUUUGGACCAGUACCCUUUCCGAUUUCAGUCUAAAUGGUUCAAGCGAUUGAUCUGGUUCAAUUCAAACAACAUUGAUUCUAACAAUUAUUCUCAUUAUCCAACGGUUGGUCUAUUAUCACAUGCUCAUUUUGAUUUUAGGGGUUUAAUUUUCAAGAUGAGAAACCAAAAAAUGAAUAUUUAUAUAUUUUUAACACUUUAUAAUUUUAUUUUAAAAAAUAAAUUUUAUAAUUUAUUAGAACUUAUUAGAUUUUUUUAUAAAUUUUUAUAAUAUUUAAUAAUCUUUUAUAACUUUUAUAAGGUUAUAUCAAUUUUAAUAUAUUUUUUUUAUUUUUAUAAGUUUUUAAUAAUUUUAUAUGUUUUUAUAAAAUUCAAAAUAUGUUUUGUUAAUUUGAUUAUAAGUUUUUAAUGUUUUCUUUAUAAUUUUUAUAAGUUUAUAUCAAUUUUAUUAUUUUUUAAAUAUUCUUAAUUUUUAAUAAUUUUAUAAUUUUUAAUAAUUUUAAUUUUUUAUUAUUUUUAAGAGAAAAUAUAAAAUUAAAUUGGAAGUUACCACAUCUUACCAUCUUAUUGUUUGUCAAUUUAUUUUGUUCAUCUUAAUAAAAGACAGAAAUAAUUAACAAAAAAGCUCAAUUGAAUUUUUUUUAUUAACAACAUAGCUUAAUUUGGUGCGAAAUUAGUGUACUAACUUAAUUAAUUUUUUCCGUUUUUUUCUUUUAAGGUUUCUUUUACCUAUAACCCAAUUGUUUAAUAGAAGAUCCUAAGGUAUAGGUAAAAUGUACAUACAAAAUGGUUCAUGGAACACAAGAAAAUAAAAACAAGGCUUAGUAUAACCUUUGUUGCUUGAGUUUGAAAAUUUUUUAAUUUGAUAUUUAAGAUUUUUUUUAAUUCUUUAAUCUUAAUUCGACAUUUUUUCUUAAUUCAAUACUUAAAUUUUUUUGGUCUAAUUUGAUACUUAAACUAGUUAAAUGUCAUAUAAAUUACCUCAAAAAUACUAAUGAUGUUAGUUUUUUAUGAGGGAACAAAAUAGCUAAUGUAAGACUGACAUGUGAUAAAUGACGUGAAAUUUAAUGAAAAAAAUGUUUACAUUUAUUUGGAGUUUUUUUUGUUUCGCUAAACAAUAUAUUUAAAUUUUAAUUUUGUUGGCACUAAUAUUAUUGUAAUGGUUAAUGGUAAGAAUUAUUUAAGAGGGUCCGUGUAUUUAAAACAUGGCCAGGUCUUCACAAAUUCCUCGAUUUCACAAAACAUUGUAGAAUUAAAAGAAAUUUGUGUUAAAAAUUACAUUUCGAGCUAUGAUUAAUAAAUGGAUAUUGAAGAUGAAAACAAGACUUUUAAAAACUAAAAUAAAAGAAAUCUAUUAUGUUAUAUAAAAUUAAAAUUAAUUAAACAUUUGAAAUAUAAAAAAGAAAGAAAGAAAAUUCUAUAUCAUCUACACAUAUGUUAGUUAUACAUUGUUUGUUAUGUACUCAAAAAAGAAAUGUUUACAUGCAUUGAUAGCUAUUGAUGAAAGAUUUAUUAAAUGGUUUCACUUAAUUUCUUGAUAAGACUUUAUUUAUAAAUGUAAAAAUAAUUAUAUAAAAUUCAAAUCCGUAAUUUAAAAAUAAAAUAAUAGUUCAAGAUAAUUUAAAAUUAGGAUGUUGAUAAUAAUUAAUUUAUUUAAAUAUUUCAAACCUAAUGCCACUAUUAAUAGGAAUGAUAAUCUCAUAGACGCUCUCAUGAAAAUGAACGUGAAAACUAGUUUUCUUUUGUCUUAGUAAAUAAAAGAGCGGAAGUAACCCAUAAGAAAAUUCUAAUUCAAUGUGGAUAAAUUGGAAUCUAUCAUUGUCAGUUCUCUAACUGAAAUUGGGGUUCUCCAAUAGAUGAAAACACAAUAGCUCUUAUUAAGAUUCUUUUUAGCUAUUGUUAUUAUUAUCUUGUAGCAUAUUCUUCUCUCCAGAGUGAAUUUCGCCUCCCCAUUUCUUUAUCCUCUCCUCCGCAAUUGAAGCCUGCAAUAAUAUAUAUAUAUAUAUAUAUAUAUAUAUAAUUCAAGUUAGAUGCAACAUUUGUAGUUCUUUUCUAUUUAUCUGUUUAAUUUUUCUUACCUCUUUGGUCCAAUUGGUUCUGUAAAUCAUUCCUACUAGUACACAAGUUUGCACGACUGUUCCUGUUAACAUCCCGCACCAAAUUCCCUGGAGAGUAAAAUUAAAAGAAGCAAUUGAGUGUUUGCAGCACUCAGCAUUUUUAUAAAUUCUCUUGCACUAUAAACAUUUUCUUGAAAAGUUUUUAUUUGAGUUGGAUGAUGGAGAAGAUACAUACCUUGACACCCAGGUUAAGCGCAAAACCUAAUGUGAGACCCAGAGGAACUCCAAAAAUAUAGUAGCAUGCAAUGUUUACAUAGGCAACAGCAGUUUGCCAUCCAGCUCCAACGGCCAUUCCUAUAUAAUAAAUAAUUUUGUUUAUAAUGUUUUAAAGGCAACUGAUAUCCCUGAAACUAAUUAAGAAGCAAAGAAGACGAAACCUGAGAGGACAGGUUGAAUAUUGUUGAUGAUAAUGCAGAGGGCUAAGAGUGGAGUGAGGUCUAUAACCAUCUCUUGAACUUGUGAAUCAUUUGAAAACAAGCCGGG